UUUAGGCUCCAAGGGACAUCCCUCUUCUCCAGUAUUACCUGGGGCUCCCACAACAUCCCCACCUGGGGCAUGGAGGUCUGAGCGUUCCCUGAUGAUGUAUUACUCAGGCUGUAUUAUGAGAGGAGGAAUGAGGACAUUGGAAGGAUUAUUCUGAAAUCUCUAUUGAACUAAAUGCUACUCAUCUUGAUCUCCAGGCAGCUCUCACUGAUGUUGAAAAGAAAGACAUUUGCAGAUCUGGAGCUAUGGCUUAUCUUCAAGCCCGCUUAAGCAAUCCUGCAGGUAGAUCACGCAGGCAACAUCACAUCUGAAGAAAGAGUCAGCCAGUCUACCUAAUGGAGAAUGAUGCAGAACCCAACCUCCUGCCCCGAUGAUUCACUGAGAUUCUUCCCCUUUUUCCCCUUUAAAAACUGUCACAGCUGAGCAGAAUCUUUAAAGUUGGCCUCUGGACGUGAGUCCAGC